CUCAGUGUUCUCCUAUCACAGCCAUUAAACUCUGUCAUUUAGGUUAGUAUUGUGGAGUAACUACAAUGUUGAUGAUCCAUCCUUAGUUUUCUCCUAUCACAGCCAUUAAACUCUGUCAUUUAGGUUAGUAUUGUGGAGUAACUACAAUGUUGUUGAUCCAUCCUCAGUGUUCUCCUAUCACAGCCAUUAAACUCUGUCAUUUAGGUUAGUAUUGUGGAGUAACUACAAUGUUGUUGAUCCAUCCUCAGUUUUCUCCUAUCACAGCCAUUAAACUCUGUCAUUUAGGUUAGUAUUGUGGAGUAACUACAAUGUUGUUGAUCCAUCCUCAGUUUUCUCCCAUCACAGCCAUUAAACUCUGUCAUUUAGGUUAGUAUUGUGGAGUAACUACAAUGUUGUUGAUCCAUCCUCAGUGUUCUCCCAUCACAGC